rnacentral:tRNA from 1 species
GCCAGCAUGGUGUAGUGGUCUGAGCGAUGGACUAUGACUCUAGAGACCAGGGUUUGAAUCCCUGCUCAGCCA